UGAAGAACGCAGCGAAAUGCGAUAAGUAGUGUGAAUUGCAGAAUUCAGUGAAUCAUCGAAUCUUUGAACGCACAUUGCGCCCCUUGGUAUUCCAUGGGGCAUGCCUGUUCGAGCGUCAUUUG
rnacentral:rRNA from 1 species